GGGCUUGCUGGGGCAGCACAUAUACUAAAAUUGGAACGAUUCAGAGAAGAUUAGCAUCCCCUGCAUAAAUUGUGAAGCAUUCCACAUUUAC
rnacentral:snRNA from 1 species